rnacentral:rRNA from 1 species
GCCGUGGCGCGUGCUUACCAUGCAAGUCGAACGGAAAGGCCACAGCUUGCUGUGGUACUCGAGUGGCGAACGGGUGAGUAACACGUGGGUGAUCUGCCCUGUACUUCGGGAUAAGCUUGGGAAACUGGGUCUAAUACCGGAUAGGAAUCACAUGUGGGUGUGUGGUUGGAAAGCUUUUGCGGUAUGGGAUGAGCUCGCGGCCUAUCAGCUUGUUGGUGGGGUAAUGGCCUACCAAGGCGUCGACGGGUAGCCGGCCUGAGAGGGUGUACGGCCACAUUGGGACUGAGAUACGGCCCAGACUCCUACGGGAGGCAGCAGUGGGGAAUAUUGCACAAUGGGCGCAAGCCUGAUGCAGCGACGCCGCGUGGGGGAUGACGGCCUUCGGGUUGUAAACUCCUUUCGUCAGGGACGAAGCGAAAGUGACGGUACCUGGAUAAGAAGCACCGGCUAACUACGUGCCAGCAGCCGCGGUAAUACGUAGGGUGCGAGCGUUGUCCGGAAUUACUGGGCGUAAAGAGCUCGUAGGUGGUUUGUCGCGUCGUUUGUGUAAGUCCACGGCUUAACUGUGGGAUGGCAGGCGAUACGGGCAUAACUUGAGUGCUGUAGGGGAGACUGGAAUUCCUGGUGUAGCGGUGAAAUGCGCAGAUAUCAGGAGGAACACCGAUGGCGAAGGCAGGUCUCUGGGCAGUAACUGACGCUGAGGAGCGAAAGCAUGGGUAGCGAACAGGAUUAGAUACCCUGGUAGUCCAUGCCGUAAACGGUGGGCGCUAGGUGUGAGUCCCUUCCACGGGGUUCGUGCCGUAGCUAACGCAUUAAGCGCCCCGCCUGGGGAGUACGGCCGCAAGGCUAAAACUCAAAGGAAUUGACGGGGGCCCGCACAAGCGGCGGAGCAUGUGGAUUAAUUCGAUGCAACGCGAAGAACCUUACCUGGGCUUGACAUACACCAGAUCGGCGCAGAGAUGCGUUUUCCCUUGUGGUUGGUGUACAGGUGGUGCAUGGUUGUCGUCAGCUCGUGUCGUGAGAUGUUGGGUUAAGUCCCGCAACGAGCGCAACCCUUGUCUUAUGUUGCCAGCACGUGAUGGUGGGGACUCAUGAGAGACUGCCGGGGUUAACUCGGAGGAAGGUGGGGAUGACGUCAAAUCAUCAUGCCCCUUAUGUCCAGGGCUUCACACAUGCUACAAUGGUCGGUACAACGCGUGUG